rnacentral:rRNA from 1 species
AUGAAGCAGCAGGAUGGAGCUAGCCCGGCCAAGAUGUUCAUCGGCGGGCUCUCCAGGCAGACAAGCAUGGGUACGUUCAAAGAGUACUUCGGGAAGUACGGGGAGAUAAUCGAUGCGGUAAUAAUGAAGGACCGCCAUACCCAAAAGCCUAGAGGCUUUGGAUUUAUUACCUAUUCAGAUCCUGCUAUUGUUGACAGAGUGAUUGAAGAUAACCAUGUCAUUGAUGGCAAGCAGGUCGAAAUUAAAAGGACUAUCCCGAAGGGUGCUGCCCCCCUGAAAGAUUUCAAGACAAAGAAGAUUUUUGUUGGCGGAUUGCCUACUGCUCUAACAGAUGGUGAAUUCAAGGACUUCUUUUCAAAGUUUGGAAAGGUGGUGGAACAUGAGAUCAUCUGUGAUCAUUCGACCAACCGGUCACGAGGAUUUGGAUUUAUAGUGUUUGAUGCAGAAAAAACUGUAGAUGAAUUGUUAGCUAAGAAAGGCAAUAAGAUUGAUCUAAAUGGUACUCAGGUGGAGAUCAAGAAGGCAGAACCAAAGAAACCCUCUAACCCACCUCAUUCACUUGAUAGCAAACCUAGGAGAUCUCCUUAUGCAGAUGGUUAUGAUGGAUUUGCCAGCCGUUACAACAAUGGUGGUCGCCUUGCCCCCUAUAAAUCACCCGGUUUUGGCGCUAGGCCUGGCAGCUACAGUAGUGCUUAUGUUCCUGGCAGCUACAGUAGUGCUUAUGUUCCUGGUGACUAUAGUAGCGGCUAUGGUGGUUAUGAUGGAGCAUUUGGAGGUUAUCAUGGAGAAUCGUCGCUCUACUCCAGUCGUUUUGGUGGCAGUUAUGGUGGUGGUUUAGGUGGUGCAUAUGGGCGUGAUGCUGUGCCUUAUGGCACGUCUAGCUAUGGGCCUAGUUAUGACUCUUCAGGUGCCAGUGCCGAUCCUAGUGUUAGGUCUGGCAUGGUUGGACUCUAUGGUGCUAGGGGAGGCUAUGGUAGCAGCAGUGGUGGUGGUGCUACUGGUCGCUACCAUCCAUAUGCAGGGUAA